rnacentral:lncRNA from 1 species
GGGGGAUGUGAUUAAAAAAAUUGGGUUCAAUUUUUCUCAUUUGAAAUUUCAUAAAUAAAAAAGAAAAUUUCUUCAAACAUUUUUAUGCCCCACCUACGAUAGUAGAGGGGCAUUAUGUUUUCUGGUCUGUGCGUCCGUCCGUCCGUCUGUCCCGCUUCAGGUUAAAGUUUUUGGUCAAGGUAGUUUUUGAUGAAGUUUAAGUCCAAUCGACUUCAAACUUAGUACACAUGUCCCCUAUGAUAUGAUCUUUCUAAUUUUAAUGCCAAAUCAGAGUUUUUACCCCAAUUUUACGGUCCACUGAACAUGGAAAAUGAUAGUGCGAGUGGGGCAUUCGUGUACUGAGGACACAUUCUUGUUUUGAGAGGAUUAAUAUUCAACAGCAUAGUGAAUUGCUCUAAGAGAAAACAAAAAUUUUAAGUUCAUUAGAACACAUUCAUUCUGUGUCAGAAACCUAUGCUGUGUCAACUAUUUAAUCACAAUCCAAAUUUAGAGCUGAAUCCAGCUUGAAUGUUGUGUCCAUACUUGCCCCAACCGUUCAGGGUUCAACCUCUGCGGUCGUAUAAUGCUACGCCCUGCGGAGCAUCUGGUUUAUUAUUUAAGAAAAA